GGUGGCUCAGUGGUAGAGUGCUUGCCUUGCAUGCAUGAGACCCUGGGUUCAGUUCCUCAGCACCA
rnacentral:tRNA from 1 species